UUUUCCUCUGGACGGGUUUUGAUAAAUCUCCCCAAUUGUGGAUUGUAAUGGACAAAACUGCUGGUUGCCCACCACCUAAGCAGGAUAGCCCAAACCACGGUGGCAGUCCCUUACCUAUAAUAGAAUUGGUGAAAAUUUUAAAAAAGGGAAUCAAUUGUUACUGUUGUAUACAGAAGUCAGAAUUAUAGCUAAAGUCAAAGGAAAAAUGAUAUCCGUGUAUGCAGAGGACUUCUUCGGAUUUGGUGGACUACGAUGACCCACGUUUUUUGUUUGCUUAAUAUUAAUAAAAUAGUUAGCAAGGG